UAAUAUAAUAUAACAUAACAUAAGCCUCAAUUUCAGUCUGAUUAAAUUGUAUUUUCAAACUCGAAACAAAAAGGGCAAAGUGUUUACAACGAUGAGAUUUUAUUGAGUAAAUAUUACUGAAGAGUAUAGAUUUUUGAACUCUAUUUAAGAGAUACAAUUCUAAGAUGUAUUAAAUGAAAGCUAUAUUUUUCUUUGCAAUUUGGUUGGAUAUUCCCUGUGUCCUCGGUCACAGGUGAGUUCUCCUGGCAGAACUUAGUAAGCAGUGCGACAGCUUCAAGAUGCAUUUAAAGAAGGAACUUCGACAUAUUUUUUUUUUUUUUUUUUUUAAAUACUUCUAUGUACAGUAAUUGCAUGUUUUAUUUUACAUUUUCUACUGACUUGUAAUGGCGCUUUAACUGUACUUUAAACCUUGUUGUGAAAAAGGGCAUGCGAACUGUGGAACAAUUAUGCCCUAAAUAUCUGUUUGCAUCUGGCUUUCUGUCCUCGUGUCACAGCAGUACAGUGACCCCCCCGCCCGCCUCCUCUGUGUCUGAGAUUCAGAGAGUAGACCGUAAUCAUGUGGACAUCGGACAUCAUGUAACAUUGCACUUAUCCACUUUUGCACUAAUUGGUUGACAGUGUGUAGACUUGAUAGUUUUUACACCAGUAAGUAUGAUUUUUUUGUUAUCUUUUAUUUACCUGAAAACCCAAAGAAGAUGAAUGAAGCCAUUACUAAGAAAAGUGCGACUUUAUGUGACUAAAUAUUAGUUACACAAAUUUCAAAACACCAGCAACAGGCGUUUACUUUUGAUAUGAUUUGAGAAAAUUGAAAUUUAUUCUUCAAUUUGAUUAUAUGGUCCUAUGGUAAUAUGGUUUUGUAAAGAGCUCAUAUUUGCAGUUGAUUAUAAGGUUUUCUUUUUGUCUAUUCCUUCCUCUAUCCCUGCUGCUUUCCUGCUGUCUGAAUACCUGCCUUCUGCUGCCUUACUUUGUUGUUUUUUGACUUUUCAUAUUCCAGCAGUAAACUGUAUCAGUAAUCCUCUCCCUUUAGCUUUAGCUCUGUUUGAUACUAACUGCCCAUUGUCACUUCCUGUGUCCUCUGUUUCCUUUUUUUUUUUUUUUUUUUUGGUGACUUACUUUUGUAGUUGCAUAUAAAUGUACAGUUCUGUUAUUUAAAAGAAUGUUUUGUCCACUAGUGUUACUACUUUUUGUAAUGUCAUUUGAGUUUGUUUCCGCUCCAAGAUAUAAAAGGGUCUUGGUUUGUAACCCAUGUUAUAGUGCUUAUCUUCCUGAUUUAAUAUAAACAAUAAAACUCUAUACUGUGUGAUGCCUUGUGUGGUUCUGUUGUUCUAAAAUAU